AUUGAACGCUGGCGGCAGGCUUAACACAUGCAAGUCGAGCGAGACGCGGACGGGUGAGUAAUGACUGGGACACGGCCUGAGGGAGGGGGAUAACUAACGGAAACGGUAGCUAAUACCGCCUACAUUCACAUGUGCCGAGAUGGGAUUAGCUAGUAGGUGGGGCAAAGGCUCACCUAGGCGACGAUCUGUACCUGGUCUGAGAGGAUGACCAGCCACACUGGAACUGAGACACGGUCCAGACUCCUACGGGAGGCAGCAGUGGGGAAUAUUGGACAAUGGGCGCAAGCCUGAUGCAGCCAUGCCGCGUGUGUGAAGAAGGCCUUCGGGUUGUAAAGCACUUUCAGCGGGGAGGCGUUACUCGCAGAAGAAGCACCGGCUAACUCCGUGCCAGCAGCCGCGGUAAUUC
rnacentral:rRNA from 1 species